GUCGAUAUGUUCGAGUGGUUAAGGAGACAGACUUGAAACCUGUUGGGCUUUGCUUCCGCAGGUUCGAAUCCUGCUGCCGACG